ACCUGCGGAAGGAUCAUUGUCGUGACCCUAACCAAAAUAGACUGUGAACAUGUCAUCAACUCCACUGGGUGACGGCCAUAGUAACGUCUCCUGGCAUGGGCCCUUAUCCUUCUUAUGAUGGGUAGGGUCCACAAAAGAACCCACGACGUCGGAUGGCGUCAAGGAACACUUAUGUUGCUUGCACAAGGUUGUGAACUGCUUGUUUGAUACACCUUGUGCUGUGAUGCUACCUUAAUCCAUAAGACUCUCGGCAACGGAUAUCUUGGCUCUCACAUCGAUGAAGAACGUAGCAAAAUGCGAUACCUGGUGUGAAUUGCAGAAUCCCGUGAACCAUCGAGUUUUUGAACGCAAGUUGCGCCUGAGGCCGCUUGGUCGAGGGCACGUCUGCCUGGGCGUCACGCGAAAAAGACACUCCCCACCAUUCAUGUAACGGGAUGUGGUGUUUGGCCUUCCGUGUCAUGUGAAUGGUGCGGUAGACUGAAGUGUAGGCUGCUAGCUACGGGGCUGGUCAUAGCACUUGGUGGAUGACAAAUGUUGUUCUCGGAGUUGUGACACGCAUUGCUUCUGGCGAUAGUAUGGCUGUUAUGACCCAUGUAUUGGAGCUUUGAUUGCUUCAACCAUGACCCCAGGUCAGUCGGGACUACCCGCUGAAUUUAAGCAUAUCAAUAAG
rnacentral:rRNA from 1 species